rnacentral:rRNA from 1 species
GACGAACGCUGGCGGCGUGCUUAACACAUGCAAGUCGAACGGGCCCGCCCCUGUUUUUGGGGGUGGGUUGAGUGGCGAACGGGUGAGUAUCACGUGAGUAACCUGCCCCCUGCUCCUGGAUAACUGCUUGAAAGGGCGGCUAAUACGGGGUGUGCCGGCUGGUCCGCAUGGGCCUGGUCGGGAUAGUUUCAUCUUCGGGUGUUUCGGUGGGGGAUGGGCUCGCGGCCUAUCAGCUUGUUGGUGGGGUGAUGGCCCACCAAGGCGGUGACGGGUAGCCGGCCUGAGAGGGUGGGCGGCCACACUGGGACUGAGACACGGCCCAGACUCCUGCGGGAGGCAGCAGUGGGGGGUAUUGCACAAUGGGCGGAAGCCUGAUGCAGCGACGUCGCGUGAGGGAUGGAGGCCUUCGGGUUGUGAACCUCUUUUUCCGGUGGUGAAGGCCCUGUCCGUUGCGGCGGGGUUGACGGUAGCCGGGUAUGAAGCGCCGGCUAACUACGUG